CGUGGCAGCUCCGAGAGCCUAAGUUUCUAGACCUCGCAGUGCAUCUGCUGUGAAAAUGGAAAUGGUCACACGUUCCCUUUCCAGGCCUAGCGCCAGGGAUCCCGUUCAGUAAAUAAAAUAGUGUAUGGGAAACUGAAGAAGGAAAGGAGGAGGUUGCCCUGACUGGACUGACUCCAUUUUUUAAAAGAACAGGAACUCCACCUUACACUCUCGGCGGACUUUGGACUGCAUACCUGGGGAGCCAUAGAGAUGAAAUACCAACAGCCAAGCAGGCCUCCCUGGCGGAUAAAAACCAGACCAGGCAGACCCCGUACCUAGACCUCCCGGAGCCAGAAGAGACGAAGGAACUGUGACUCUGAGAAGUGAUACAGAAGAAGAAAAAGAUCUGAAAUCUUUCAUCCAUUCCAUAACGUUUUUUGACCUCCUGACACCCAGAGUCAACAUCCUCGGAGAACCACGGCCCAGUGGAAACUUGUGACCUCGGCUGAGAGGUCACGUGAUGCUACAUGAUGGGAGCAGGCACAGAAGCCCACCCUUAUCCUCAGGAAAGGACAGAGACUCUACAUCUUGCUAAGGGAGUGAACUAAGUUGAUCAUAUUCUGUUUACAGCCUCUCUGGUUUUAUUCAAUUUUAUUAUUUUUCCUUUUUAUCCCUUAUCCUUGCUUCUAUUUCUCUCAUUCUCAUGGGCAUCUGUUAGAGGAUGUAAUCCACAUUCUUCCAUCCUAUUUAGAUAUUGUAUAUCCUUGGAAAAUAUAUUAUUUUGGAGCAUGCAUGUUUUCAAUUUAAAUCAACUGGCAGUGAUUUCUUUUCACACAGCACCAUGUUUGGAGUUCCAUACAUGUUGCUAUUUGUAAAACUAGUGCAUUAUUUGAAGCUGUUUUAUACUAUUUUAUUUUAUGUAUCUAAAACAUCUCUACCUGUCCAUUUCUGUCAUGCGGGACAUUUAAGUUACCUUUAGCUCUUUUCUGCCACUUAUCAUGCUGUGAUGAACAUCCCUGCACAUAUUCCAUCUGGAAGAACUCUGUUGGAGUCUAUGCUCGUGAUAAGAUUACACGGUCUCAGAUUAUACCCAUUCAUAAUUUCACCAAAUACUUCCAGAUUACUUUCCAAUAUCACUACACCAAUUUUUCAAGCCUACUAACAUUUUUUCCAGCACUUGAUGUUAGAUAUUCUAGUUGUUGAUAAUCUGGUGGUUAAAAACCACUUAUAUCUUGGUUAUGUUAAUUUCCAUUUAUUAGAUUACCAACACAGUUAAGCAUUGACUUCCUCUUCUGAAAUCGACUUUUCAUAACUCUUGACAAUCUUUUCUCCUCUGGAGUGUUUGUGUCUUUUUAUUGUUGAUAUAAAGGAAAUCAGUCCUGAAUAUACAUUGGAAGGACUGAUGGUGAAGCUGAAACUCCAAUACUUUGGCCACCUGAUGCGAAGAACUGACUUCUUGGAAAAGACCCUGAUGCUGGGAAAGAUUGAAGGCAGGAGGAGAAGGGGAUGACCGAGGAUGAGAUGGUUGGAUGGCAUCACCGACUUGAUGGACAUGAGUCUGAGCAAGCUCCAGGAGUUGGGAAUGGACAGGGAAACCUGGUGUGCUGCAGUCCAUGGGGUUGCAAAGAGUUGGACAUGACUGAGCGACUGAACUGAACCACUGAAAGAAGGAAUUCCUUAUGUCUAGGUGUUAAUCUUUGGUUAGUUUUACGCAUUACAAAUGUUUUCUCCAUUUGGCUGCCAGCACUAUAAAACAUUUAAACCAAGCCUCAACUCUAUUGCGAAAGGGUAAUACUCUGAAAUAAGAGAUAGGCCUAGUUGCAUUAGUUGAGGAUAAAUUUUGUAACAAGAGUUGAUUCCUUGCCUGUAAACUUAGUAUCACAUCUAUAUUUUAGCAACUUGGAAAUCCUGGCAGGAAACAGUGAACAUGUGACAAUAAAUAGAGUUCUUUUUCUACAACAGAAAUGUUUUUGUAAGAUGUGCAAAUCAAAAUUUGUUAAUUGAAAAUUUCACAAACAAUUAAUUAUGCACUUAUAUCUUUGUGGCAUUUUUGCAGCACAUACCAAAACAGGACAGUUUGAAUUGUGAAAGGACAGCCAGAGUGAAAAUUUUGGGAAAGUAAAUAAAAACCUCCUGCAUGUUCAUCUUCAUGGUCUGGAAUUAUGCUUUUAUUUUUAUUGCAUAGAAAGAG